UACAGAGGUGGCAAGCGUUGUUCGGAAUUACUGGGCGUAAAGGGCGCGUAGGCGGCCCUCUAAGUCAGACGUGAAAUCCCCCGGCUUAACCUGGGAACUGCGUCUGAUACUGGAGGGCUUGAGUAUGGGAGAGGGAUGUAGAAUUCCAGGUGUAGCGGUGAAAUGCGUAGAUAUCUGGAGGAAUACCGGUGGCGAAGGCGGCAUCCUGGACCAUUACUGACGCUGAGGAGCGAAAAGCGUGGGGAGCGAACAGG
rnacentral:rRNA from 1 species